rnacentral:tRNA from 2 species
GCGAUCGCACUGUAAAGGUAGCAUCAGAGUCUUCCAAACUCACGGUACGAGUUCGAUUCUCGGCGAUCGCUCCA